GAAAUCAACGUUAUUAUUGGCAUUGUUGCUCUUUUUCAGGUUUGGUGCUAUUUUUCGACUUUCUGCUAAACGAUUGCAAGUAGCAAUGUUCGUACAAGUAUCUUUUUCUUCAUGGUAUUUACAAUUUCUUAGGAACAUCUAAAAUCCAAAAAGUUUAAUUUACUAAAAAUUAGGUUAUCAUUUGCUGGCAGUCAACUUAAAGAUUAAAGUUAAUUCAAGAGCUCAUCAAUCAAGCAGGCUUUUCUCAACGGACGUGGUAGUUAAUUUCUCUCUUCAAUCUAGAUUAUGAAUGAUCGUUUCAUUUCAUUUUUAAGUGCUUUUUAAGGUUUUAUGUCGCUCGUGUCUGAUAUUUAAUUACUCGAAACAACCUGAUGAUUUUUUGAUAUGAUUGAUCUGCCAAGCUAUCCAAGAAACAGGUACAUAAAUCCCUUCACUAUACAUCAGAUGACUUUCAUUAUUUUGGGCAAUUUGGUGUUUUUUCAUUAUUUUUACUAUUCACUAUACAUCAGAUGACUUUCAUUAUUUUGGGUAAUUUUUGUGUUUACUUUGUGGAG
rnacentral:lncRNA from 1 species